UCUAUUGCGUGGGAACGCAAAACUAUUAAAAAACAUAUUUUCCCACCCAGACCUUUUAGGGGCUCCCUAGACGGCAAACAACAAAAUUACAACAAAAGGUCUAAUGCGCUAUUAAGCUUGCAAACUGAGGGGAUGUGGGUGUUACAACACCCCCACUUUGGCUGAAACACGACCCCCCCGCCACACACACACACACACAUGCUUUUGACAGAUUAUAACGAUACGAAAAUAUGUCCUGCUACAGUACAAGAGCGAAUCGAACGGUAGCUCUAAUCUGGGAGGGAAAAAAAACACAGAAGCAGAUUUACGCUACACACAUAGGUCCGUUAGUUUAAUUGAAAGACCACUCAGCCAAUCACAGCAUAGGUAUUACCGUCAGUGACCAGGGAACGAGAGCUGCUCCUCUUCAAAUCUGCAGUCUGUCUCUUGCAGUAUCAUAUGUUCCUAUCAUAGAGCUGUGUCUUGAAGCAAUCAUUCUUUUUUGUCAUGCAAUAUUGGGAUGCACAAAAGGAAAAGACGGGAAGAUAGAUUCCUUUUUCAAGCAAAAUCAAGAUAGGCAGUUGCAGCAGACCUCUACUUCGGUGAGACAAGAGGAUGUAGUUAAUGUUGCAUAGGUGAGCAAUCAAAUAGGUUUGAAGUAUCCCAUAAUAAUUUAUCUGGUUGUUUGUGAAAGAGGCAUGUUGGAGGGAGAGAAUAUGGCUAAGUGAGGGAGGGGUGAAAUUCAGGGAGUGAUAAAAUUCCACAAUUUAAUUUUAAAGGUUUUAAUUAGGAGGAUGUAUGUGAGAAAGGUGUGGCCAGGAGUACCCAAGAGUUCAAUAAACCCAAUCAACCAGACCCUAAAUUCAUUGUCAAGCAGUCACUGCCUAAAUUUACUCUUACUGUACUUUCCAGACAAAAUGGUACAAAAGAUUUCCAUGGCUCCAUGUUAAUCCUGGUGUGGAAGGGAUACUGUGCUUUUACUGUAGUAAAGGUUUUAAUUCAUCAUCACCCCUACCCAGCCCUAACCUUAAGCAUAAAUAACAAAACAAAAUGCAAGUUUUUUAAUUGCACUGUAGUAAAAUUGAAUUUGUCUUUGUUGGACCAGAAUAAUGUCCCUACAAGGUCAAAAUAACAGGUGUUUUGUUACUUGUGGUGUCAUUUGGAGCCCACACAGUCACACACACAUACACAACCUUAUUCAUCAUGGACGUUGACGAGUCUGCAUACAGACGGGAGGCCAAACAGCUGGCCCUCUGGUGCGGUCAGAACAGCUUGGAGACCAACACGCCUAAAACGAUGGAGAUGAGAGCAGACUUCAGGAGGUGCCCCCCCCCCAGCACUGCCCCCCCUCACCCUAUGCAACAGCACUUUGUCUGCUGUGAAAAACCUUCAGGUUUCUGGGAUCCACAAUCUCCCAGGUCCCGAAGUGGGCGGCCAGCACAGACACAAUUGUGAAAAGGGCCCAACAAGGAAUGUAGUUCCUGCGCCAGCUCGGGAAGCUCAACCUGCCGCUGGAGCUGCUGAUCCAGUUCUACUCCGCAAUGAUCCAGGCUGUUCACUGCACAUCUGUCACGGUCUGAUUUGGUUUGGCCACCAAACAGGAGAGGAAGAGACUACAACGGACAGUCAGGACUGCAGAAAAAAAUCACUGGUGCUGACCUGCCCUCCAUUCAGGACUUACACAUGCCCAGAGUCAGGAGACAGGCAGGCAAAAUCACUGCAGACCCAUCAGACCCUGAUUAUAACCUGUUUGAGCUCCUCCCCUCUGGCAAGCGGUACUGAGCACUGUACGACAAAAGAACCAGACACACGAACAGUUUCAUUCCACAGGACAUCACUUAAGUGUCAAGGACAGUACUUGUGCAAUAUUCUGCUAUCACUAAGCAUCCACUGUACCUCAUGUAUAUAUAUAGUAACCAGCACCUUUGCACCAUGACCCUCUGGCUUAUGUCUGUUCUGUACGUACUGUACCUAAUUCUUUUUUGUAGUCCUGUUUUUUACUGUAUGUCUGUCCUGUUUAUACUGAGAAUGACAAAAAAUCGGAGAAA